rnacentral:rRNA from 1 species
UGCAAGUCGAGCGGACAGAAGGGAGCUUGCUCCCGGAUGUUAGCGGCGGACGGGUGAKUAACACGUGGGUAACCUGCCUGUAAGACUGGGAUAACUCCSGGAAACCGGAGCUAAUACCGGAUAGUUCCUUGAACCGCAUGGUUCAAGGAUGAAAGACGGUUUCGGCUGUCACUUACAGAUGGACCCGCGGCGCAUUAGCUAGUUGGUGGGGUAAUGGCUCACCAAGGCGACGAUGCGUAG